ACUCGGAGCACGGCUGCAUCAUCUCCCAGCAGCAGAUGUCUUGCCUCAGUGCAGCAGCCUCCAGCUACACCCUUCCUUUCAGAUGCCCUGCUUUGCCCAGCUGAUAAUGACGCUGUUGCGGCAUCCAGGACCACAGGGAUGGAGGCUUCCCGGGAGCAGGGACGGUCUUUCUCUUUGCCAUCUGCAGCCUCCAGCUCACUUUGGGGAAAGCUAGCUGCCAUGUUAUGAGGACACUCAAGCAGCUCUAUGGAGCGGUCCACACGUGAGGAACUGAGGCCUCCCACCAACAGCUGUGAGAGUGACCCAUCUUGGAAGCCAAUCCUCCAGUCCUGUCAAGCCUUCAGAAGACAACAGACCCCACCAACAUCUUGACUGCAACCUCUCAAGAGACCCUGAACCCAAACCACCCAGCUAAGAUUCCUGAUUCUAAGCUAGAUUCCUGACUCUAAGAAACUGUGUGAGAUAAUAAAUGUUUAUUAUUUGGA